rnacentral:rRNA from 1 species
AUUGAACGCUGGCGGCAUGCCUUACACAUGCAAGUCGAACGGUAACCGGUCUUCGGAUGCUGACGAGUGGCGAACGGGUGAGUAAUACAUCGGAACGUGCCCGAUCGUGGGGGAUAACGGAGCGAAAGCUUUGCUAAUACCGCAUACGAUCUACGGAUGAAAGCAGGGGACCGCAAGGCCUUGCGCGGACGGAGCGGCCGAUGGCAGAUUAGGUAGUUGGUGGGAUAAAAGCUUACCAAGCCGACGAUCUGUAGCUGGUCUGAGAGGACGACCAGCCACACUGGGACUGAGACACGGCCCAGACUCCUACGGGAGGCAGCAGUGGGGAAUUUUGGACAAUGGGCGAAAGCCUGAUCCAGCCAUGCCGCGUGCAGGAUGAAGGCCUUCGGGUUGUAAACUGCUUUUGUACGGAACGAAAAGACUCUUUCUAAUAAAGAGGGUCCAUGACGGUACCGUAAGAAUAAGCACCGGCUAACUACGUG